rnacentral:rRNA from 1 species
UAUACCUAUUCGAAGGGAUAGGGUCGGUUCGGCCGGGUUUCACACAGGUGUUGCAUGGCUGUCGUCAGCUCGUGUCGUGCGAUGUUGGGUUAAGUCCCGCAACGAGCGCAACCCUCAUCCUUAGUUACCAUCAGGUAAUGCUGGGGUCUUUACGGAAACUGCCAGCGGCAAACUGGCGGAAGGUGGGGAUGAUGUCAAGUCAUCAUGGCCCUUAUGGAGUGGGCUACACACGUGCUACAAUGGUGGCUACAUUGGGCUGCAAAGUCGCCUGGCUAAGCCAAUCCCUUAAAAGCCAUCUCAGUUCGGAUUGUACUCUGCAACUCGAGUGCAUGAAGUUGGAAUCGCUAGUAAUCGUGGAUCAGCAUGCCACGGUGAAUACGUUCUCGGGUCUUCUACACACUGCCCGUCACGCCAUGGGAAUUGGUUUCACUCGAAGCU